UCGAACGCGUCUUGGUUAUUGAUGUUAGAUGCUUGCAUUUAACUGAUUUAACAUUGAGACGAGUGGCGAACUGGUGAGUAACACGUGGGUAACCUGCCCUUGAAGUAGGGGAUAACACUUGGAAACAGGUGCUAAUACCGUAUAACAACCAAAACCACCUGGUUUUGGUUUAAAAGAUGGCUUCGGCUAUCACUUUAGGAUGGACCCGCGGCGUAUUAGCUUGUUGGUAAGGUAACGGCCUACCAAGGCAAUGAUACGUAGCCGACCUGAGAGGGUAAUCGGCCACAUUGGGACUGAGACACGGCCCAAACUCCUACGGGAGGCAGCAGUAGGGAAUCUUCCACAAUGGACGAAAGUCUGAUGGAGCAACGCCGCGUGAGUGAUGAAGGGUUUCGGCUCGUAAAACUCUGUUGUUGGAGAAGAACAGGUGUGAGAGUAACUGUUCACAUCUUGACGGUAUCCAACCAGAAAGCCACGGCUAACUACGUGCCAGCAGCCGCGGUAAUACGUAGGUGGCAAGCGUUGUCCGGAUUUAUUGGGCGUAAAGCGAGCGCAGGCGGUUUCUUAGGUCUGAUGUGAAAGCCUUCGGCUUAACCGGAGAAGUGCAUCGGAAACCAGGAGACUUGAGUGCAGAAGAGGACAGUGGAACUCCAUGUGUAGCGGUGAAAUGCGUAGAUAUAUGGAAGAACACCAGUGGCGAAGGCGGCUGUCUGGUCUGUAACUGACGCUGAGGCUCGAAAGCAUGGGUAGCGAACAGGAUUAGAUACCCUGGUAGUCCAUGCCGUAAACGAUGAGUGCUAAGUGUUGGAGGGUUUCCGCCCUUCAGUGCUGCAGCUAACGCAUUAAGCACUC
rnacentral:rRNA from 1 species